CAAUUGCAACGGAGUGUCAGCAAUUAUGGCUCAGCAGUCAGAAGAACCAUUUGGGUUGCUGUUGAGAGGCAUACACCCAGAUUGCCAAUGCUUGUCUAGGCCACAAAGGUCCUCUAAAGUUGGUCUCGGCACAAGCGAUGCUGAUUAGAUAUGGCAGAUAUUCAUUGGGUGAUGCAGCUUCUGAUCCAAUCACUUGCUCAGAGCAUACCAGAUGCUAAGAAAUAUUGGCAUGGGAAUCAAAGUAGGUGACUGGAGCAUUCAGCUUGCUGUAUUCUCCAAGAGACCUCCAUGUUAGACUCAAGGCACCAGCAUCUCAGGGCAUGCUCCAUGAGCACAGGCCACUCCGAACUUUUGACUGGCAGAACAUUCACCAUCUUCAACAUUCACUUCCUCUAUCAUUGGUGCAUACUGGCAGCAGACUGCAACACAGGAGGCCUUGAGGUACCUUUAUCAGAGAAAAUGAAAGAAAUUUCUGGAUUUUUAAACCCAAAUGGGGUAUAGCAAUUCAAAGUGAUGCCUUUUGGAAUGAAGAACAC